GCAGAUGUGGUAAAGGUCGCAGGUAGAUUCGGGCUGGGGAUGCAUAGAUGACUUUGGGGCAGAAUGCAUGCUGCCUAGAUCGUGCAAUUUUUCAGGGCGUUAAUGGGGUUUUUCUAAGUCCCGACCCAGCCAUUUUAGGAGGAAAAAUAUAUGGACCUGCAGCGGGAUAUUUUGAGGAUGCAAGUGGACAACUUGCACAACUUGUCCACUUGUGUGCCACUUGCAAGCUAGGCGCGAGUUGUAGGCAAGCUAAGCACGAGUUGGCAAGGAUAAAUAUCAAUGGUGCAAGCUAGACGCGAGUUGUAUGCAAGCUAGGCACGAGUUGGCGACAACUUGCAAGGCAAGUUGUAAUACCAUCUACUUGAAGACAACUAAGAAUGAGUUGGCGACAACCAAGCACGAGGUGGCGACAACCAAGCGCAAGUUGUAAAGUGGAAGGUUAAGGAGGUUAAAGUUUUUCUAUAAAUAGAGAGGUAGUCUCAUUUGUAAAGGGUAUGUAGUAGAGGUUAGAGAAUGGAGAGAAUGUAGAGUGAGUGAGUUUAUUCUUUCAAGAGAGAUUGUAAAGUUUUUCCUUUCAUUUAUAUAAAAAAAGUUUCCCCAAUCCUUACUUGUUUUCCAUAUAUUACUUACUUCAAAAUUCUCUUCUCAACGUGGGUAUAAUUUAGCCUCAUUGGUUAAAUUAUUUGUGGGCGUAGAAAGGCUGACUUAACGUUUUCUCGUGAGGUGCGGGAAUUGUAGAGCGUUAAGGCCGCACGGCUCUAGUUUGUUCGGGUGUAACGAAACUAGGCCCGUGACAAGUGGUAUCAGAGCAAGGUUCACGUGGGGUUGAACCAGUUUUUCAUCUCAGAGGUGAGGUGAUGUCCAUGUAGGUUCACGUGGCGUGGACUACGGAGGCAGUUCAAGGCGAAGGUUUGGUUGUGGUAACCAAGUGCGGCUGUGGUAGCCAGAUUCGUCGGAGAUUCUUGGAAGCUAGAUUUGGGUGAGGUGCUCAAAUGGCGGAAUCUCAAGAAACUGUUGAUAUUGAGAUUGAGGAGAGGGGUCGAGGUGCUGCCCAAACUGAAGUAAGGAAAACUAGAGGAAAAAGUAAGGUGAGGGAAACCACCAACAUGGAAGGAAAACUUGACCAAAUCAUCUCACAUAUGGGUAAUCGGGUCGAAUCUCUUGAAUGCUCCUUCGAGGCAUUGGAGGGACACGCCAUUGGAAAGAUAGAAACUCUACAAAUUAAUGUCCAAGAGGUGAUGGACACACAGGCAUCGUUGGGGGAUGAUGUCCAAGCAAUGAAAGGUGAUGUUCGAGCUGUGGUAGCCGGACAAGCCGCGGUGACGGAUGAUUUUGGUCGUCUCCAAACCAAAGUCAUGGAUGCCGUUACCGCUAUGCAUGGCCAAGUUAACCAAUUGGCUAUAAUGAUGGAAAGGAUGAGCAACCAGCUUAAUCAAUGCAAGCACUCCACUGUCGGUACAAGCGGAGGUGCCGCUUCAAGUAUUGUUGCCCCGAGGGUUGAAUUCCCGAAGUCUAAACAUUAUGAUGGGCAACAGGAUGCCAAAGUUGAUUAUAGAUCUGGUGGCAACAAACCAACUACUUGGAGUAAGGAGUAUGAUGCGAAGAAGAGGAGUACUUUUACACCUCGAGGUUGCUUUAUCUGCAAAGGACUACAUCUCAUGAGGGAUUGUCCUGAGUUGGGAUCAUUGGCAUCUAUUUCCAUUUCGGAGAGCAAACCGGAGGCCAUAGAUAGCCAAGAUGAGGAUGAAGUUCGAAUGAAUUCAUUCCAGCUGUUUGAUGCUAUGAGUGCUGAAAAUGUUUCUGUGGGAAUGGAAACACAACAACUGUCAAGGAUGCAGUUGGCGGAAGUCCUUGAAAAUGAUAAGGACAUUAUGCUAGCGGAGUUGCCGAGGGAACUACCGAAAAAGAAGGAAAGUGAGGAAGCAUUGUCAAAGGAGUCCGAAAUUGGGUGCACGAAGGUUCAAAGCUUCGACAAGUGUGGGGACACUACGACCAGAGGAGUUGUCCAUCCGAGGAACCAAAGCAGAGGUGCUGAGGGUGAAGGUUGGUGUCGAAAGUGGCAUGCAAGAGGUUGCAACGGGAAGAGGUGCAAGGGGCACUGUGGAAACCCGAUCAUCAAGGAGAUGGUGCCACAAGUUGGGAGAACUUUGAUGCCCAUGGACGUGGAAGACAAUGCAAGGUUGCAUGAGGAUGCACGAAACACGUUUCGCUACGAGGACGUUAGCGGAUUGAGUGGGGGAGAAUGUCACGGAUCGCAAGAUCAUGACUUGAGACUUGGCAUGACACGGGAAUGUCAUGGCACAAGGUGGGAAAAUGAGAUAGACUUAUGGCAAAUAAGGUCUAUGCUUCGGCAAUAUAUGGCGAUGAGUGCGUCGCCAAAUUCAGUGGGGGAGUGAUUUACACUUAACGCGGUCGCGUUCGAUCCGUCCCGUUAGCGAUCGCAAGAUAGCGCGGGUAACGCGUUUCUGAAGGACGGAAUAGCUUGCGAUAGGGGACGCAAGCA
rnacentral:lncRNA from 1 species